rnacentral:rRNA from 1 species
UACGGAGGGGGCUAGCGUUGUUCGGAAUCACUGGGCUUAAAGGGCGCGUAGGCGGGCCGCCAAGUCCGUGGUGAAAUCCCCCGGCUCAACCGGGGAAGUGCCUCGGAUACUGGCGGCCUCGAGGGGGGUAGGGGCGUGCGGAACUUCCGGUGGAGCGGUGAAAUGCGUAGAUAUCGGAAGGAACACCGGUGGCGAAAGCGGCGCGCUGGACCCCAUCUGACGCUGAGGCGCGAAAGCCAGGGGAGCAAACGGG